rnacentral:rRNA from 1 species
AACGAACGCUGGCGGCAUGCCUAAUACAUGCAAGUCGAACGAGAUCUUCGGGUCUAGUGGCGCACGGGUGCGUAACGCGUGGGAAUCUGCCCUUGGGUUCGGAAUAACUUCUGGAAACGGAAGCUAAUACCGGAUGAUGACGUAAGUCCAAAGAUUUAUCGCCCAAGGAUGAGCCCGCGUAGGAUUAGGUAGUUGGUGAGGUAAAGGCUCACCAAGCCGACGAUCCUUAGCUGGUCUGAGAGGAUGAUCAGCCACACUGGGACUGAGACACGGCCCAGACUCCUACGGGAGGCAGCAGUAGGGAAUAUUGGACAAUGGGCGAAAGCCUGAUCCAGCAAUGCCGCGUGAGUGAUGAAGGCCUUAGGGUUGUAAAGCUCUUUUACCCGGGAUGAUAAUGACAGUAACGGGAGAAUAAGCGCCGGCUAACUCCGUG